rnacentral:rRNA from 1 species
UACGUAGGGAGCGAGCGUUGUUCGGAUUUACUGGGCGUAAAGGGCAGGUAGGCGGACAUGUAAGUCGGUUGUGAAAUCCUCUGGCUUAACCAGAGAAUUGCAGCCGAAACUACACGUCUUGAGUUCAGCAGAGGGAAUCGGAAUCCUAGGUGUAGCGGUGAAAUGCGUAGAUAUCUAGGAGAACACCAGUGGCGAAGGCGGAUUCCUGGGCUGACACUGACGCUGAGCUGCGAAAGCGUGGGUAGCGAACAGG